UACAGAGGGGCAAGCGUUGUUCGGAAUUACUGGGCGUAAAGGGCGCGUAGGCGGCCCGCUAAGUCAGACGUGAAAUCCCUCGGCUUAACCGGGGAACUGCGUCUGAUACUGGAUGGCUAGAGGUUGGGAGAGGGAUGCGGAAUUCCAGGUGUAGCGGUGAAAUGCGGUAGAUAUCUGGAGGAACACCGGUGGCGAAGGCGGCAUCCUGGACCAAUUCUGACGCUGAGGAGCGAA
rnacentral:rRNA from 1 species